GACCCAUUAGUCUAAUUGGUUAGGACGUCAGAUUUUCAAUCUGGAAAAAGGAGUUCAAAUCUCCUAUGGGUUACCA
rnacentral:tRNA from 1 species